rnacentral:sRNA from 1 species
AUAUUUGUUCUUGGUGACAUCAAAAUCUAUGCAUCGUUAUAUUUUUGUACUAUUGUUUAUAUAUACACCAGUAGUAUAACAUCCAGAUAUAAUACAUAAGUGUAUAUCUCAGUAUUGGGGCCAGACAGAUGAAUUUAUAAUCAAGUAUCCAUUAUUUUUCCCUUAGUUUCUGUCUCAGAUACACAAUUUUACCUUUGUAUUUUCCAUGGUGUAAUUGACACCAGCUAUUAUCAAUAACCCCAAGGGUAUUUUGAACAAACUAUCUAUAUUUAUAAACAAUAUGGCCAGAAGUAACCAAUCUGCCCAAAAAUCUGGGUGUCUGUGAUAGAUGAUUUAUACAGUAGAGAUUAUAUUAACUAAAGGAAGGAGGAAGCAUUUUUAAAAUUUUUAUCAAGUUUCAGAUUUUUCUAGAUUUACAACUGGCAUUACAAUUUUAUUUGUAGAAAAGGUUGAAAUGAAUUGUAUUUAUUAUACUUUAUUUCCUGCAAGUUUUUUCAGCAACCCAACACCAUAUAUGGCUUGGCUGACCACAGUUACCAUAGCAACUGUUUUCAAUCUAUAUUCAUAGUAUUGUUUUAUAGUAUUAUCUUGUUCAAUCAUGAACUUUUUUUGAUGUACAUUUUGCCAAAUAAAUUUCACUCCUUGACAAGUAUGAACUUGAAAAAAAAUGAAAUGGCUAUUUUACCAUAAUCAUGCAGUCUUUUAGUACACUCUGAAGUAUUUUAGCUAAAGAGGAUAGUACUAUCGAUGCAAGUUAAGUAUUGUUUGUGAUAUCAUGAAAUCCACCUGUCUAUACAUGUAUGCUUUUCACAGUUUUAGAAUUUUCUACAUCUUUGUGUUUUGUAAUGCAUGAAACUUCACUGCGAUGCAUGAUUUGUUCAUCUUUGAGGAUUUAGAAAGUAAGGAUUUUUUUUGUAGUAUACCAUGUUUAAUAGUUCAUGGGUGUUUUGUAGAAAACUUUAAUCAUAAAGUUUAAAAGACCAUGAGUGUCAAAGCAUUAAUGUGUUCAUCUUGAUUCACAGCAAACAGUGUUUUCUAAAUAUGUUGCAAUAAAGCUGUUACUAUAUU